AUUGAUGGCUUGCAAAUAUUAUCCGAACACACAUCUCUAUGUCCGAACGGUUCUGCACUAUAAAGUGCACGGGUGCGCCGGCGCCGCCACACACCGUCACGCUGCGUCGGCUUGCACCUGUGUAUCGAGUACUUCAGUUUUUGCAAGAAUAAACAAGAUGCCUUGCGGAGGUUGUGGAGACAAUUGCAAAUGCACAGCAUCGCAGUGCUGCCAGAACUGCAAAUGUGACUCUUCGUGCAACUGCGCUGCCAAGAAGUCGACCUGCAGCGGCGACUCCUGCGCAGCCCCCAAAAAGUAGGGGAUAAUGGCUCAAAUACAACUGUAUGAUAGUUAUGUAUUUAGUGUUUAGGACAACAAAAGAGACACA